rnacentral:rRNA from 1 species
UACGUAGGGGGCAAGCGUUGUCCGGAUUUAUUGGGCGUAAAGAGCGUGUAGGCGGUUUGGUAGGUCCGUUGUGAAAACUCGAGGCUCAACCUCGAGACGCCGAUGGAAACCAUCAGACUAGAGUCCGGAAGAGGAGAGUGGAAUUCCUGGUGUAGCGGUGAAAUGCGCAGAUAUCAGGAGGAACACCGGUGGCGAAGGCGGGUCUCUGGGCCGAUACUGACGCUGAGGAGCGAAAGCGUGGGGAGCAAACAGG